UCCGUAGGCGGGCAAUUAAGUCAGAGGUGAAAUCCCACAGCUCAACUGUGGAACUGCCUUUGAUACUGGUUGUCUUGAGUUAUAUUGAAGUGAGUAGAAUAUGUAGUGUAGCGGUGAAAUGCUUAGAUAUUACAUAGAAUACCGAUUGCGAAGGCAGCUCACUAAGUAUAUACUGACGCUGAUGGACGAAAGCGUGGGGAGCGAACAGGAUUAGAUACCCUGGUAGUCC
rnacentral:rRNA from 1 species